AUUGAACGCUGGCGGCAUGCCUUACACAUGCAAGUCGAACGGCAGCGCGAGAGCAAUCCUGGCGGCGAGUGGCGAACGGGUGAGUAAUAUAUCGGAACGUGCCCAGUAGUGGGGGAUAGCCCGGCGAAAGCCGGAUUAAUACCGCGUACGACCUACGGGUGAAAGGGGGGGAUCGCAAGACCUCUCGCUAUUGGAGCGGCCGAUAUCAGAUUAGGUAGUUGGUGGGGUAAAGGCCUACCAAGCCUGCGAUCUGUAGUUGGUCUGAGAGGACGACCAGCCACACUGGGACUGAGACACGGCCCAGACUCCUACGGGAGGCAGCAGUGGGGAAUUUUGGACAAUGGGCGCAAGCCUGAUCCAGCAAUGCCGCGUGCAGGAAGAAGGCCUUCGGGUUGUAAACUGCUUUUGUCAGGGAAGAAAUCCUCUAGGCUAAUACCUUGGGGGGAUGACGGUACCUGAAGAAUAAGCACCGGCUAACUACGUGCCAGCAGCCGCGGUAAUAC
rnacentral:rRNA from 1 species